GAUGAACGCUAGCUACAGGCUUAACACAUGCAAGUCGAGGGGAAACGACAUCGAAAGCUUGCUUUUGAUGGGCGUCGACCGGCGCACGGGUGAGUAACGCGUAUCCAACCUGCCCAUCACUUGGGAAUAACCUUGCGAAAGUAAGACUAAUACCCAAUGAUAUCCCACGAAGGCAUCGGAAUGGGAUUAAAGAUUUAUCGGUGAUGGACGGGGAUGCGUCUGAUUAGCUUGUUGGCGGGGUAACGGCCCACCAAGGCAACGAUCAGUAGGGGUUCUGAGAGGAAGGUCCCCCAAAUUGGAACUGGGACACGGUCCAAACCCCUAAGGGAGGCAGCAGUGAGGAAUAGUGGUCAAUGGGCGAGAGCCUGAACCAGCCAAGUAGCGUGCAGGAAGACGGCCCUAUGGGUUGUAAACUGCUUUUAUAAGGGAAUAAAGUGGGUCACGUGUGACUUUUUGCAUGUACCUUAUGAAUAAGGACCGGCUAAUUCCGUG
rnacentral:rRNA from 1 species